CACACCCCCACCCCUGGGCGUUAAUGAACCGCUGAGAGCCGCUGUGUUGUGCGCAAGUCCUGGGCCUUCCAAGAGAAGGAAGCUGGUCCCGGGCGCCAGGGCGGCAGCGCCCCCGCGCGGGCAGGGUGGGGAGCAGUGGGUGAGGACGGUGGCCGCUGCCCCGGCCGCCCUCCCUCGGGGGCAGUGGCUGGUCUGGGCCCCGGGCUCCCCAGCUCGCCCGCCCUUCCUCCUCCCGCUCUCCGGAGGACCACGCCUUCCGUCCUCCUCUCCGUUGCCUCCCGAGAGCCCCACCCACUUUCUCUGCUCUGUUUUUCUCACCCCCGCGAACCUUGGGGUCGUGGCUUCAGCUCUAUGCGCUGGGGAGCGUGCGGGGUCCUCAGCUUCUCUUUUCGCCUUUAAGAGAAGCUGGAGAGGCCUGGGCCGGCGAGCCUCUCUCCCUGGCUUUGCUGGAACACGUUCUCCCGGACUGAAAGAUCAACUAGUUUUUACUUUACCAGGAGGAUCACCAUCCCCAAAUGUGGAUCUUAGUAACGUAUGCCAGUUUUUUUUUGUUUUUUUUUUUUUUUUUUUUUUUUUUUAUCAUUUCUGAACUGAAGCCAACUGAACCCAUCUUGAUAAGUCUGAGCAAGCAUCAACAUUCCUGGGGACGAAUCAUAUUUCCUAAAAGACUCUGAAAAGCUGUUCUUUAGACUAGUUGGCCAAGACACCGUUUCUGAGAAGAGAUGGGAAAUUAAGUCAAGAGAAAAAGCCUGGAAAUCCUGCAUGGUUGAAACGUGGAAGGACGUGAGCUGGAGACAGUUGUGAUUUGUGGGGAGCUUAGAGUGACCCCAGCUGGCUGAAUCAGAAUGGAGCGGAACAAUGAUGGGGCCUGAGGGCUUGCCAGUGGCCACCCCUGUGACGCCACGCGCACCGCACGGAGGGUCCAGGAACCAUGGAUCCAAGAUGAUGGUUCUUCCUCGAGGUUUGUGUGAAGGGCUGCCCGCUGGGGACUAGGAAGGGCCGGUGGAACGGAGCCACCAGGGAACCCGAGGCUCACUCUGGCUGUGGGCACAGGGCCGUCGCCCCUUCUCCUGAUUUCCUAGCCAAGUAGAUUCUGGUCGAUUCUGGGAAGGGGGGAGGGGGCGGACCGAGGAUGUCGCUGCCUCGGGAACGCGACCCUGGGCCCAUCACGACACUCCGUGUUCGGCCUGCAUGGAUCUCAACCGGCAAGUCUCCCAACGCUACGGCCAGUCCCCAUGACAACGGCCUCGCUUAGACCCCAGUGCCAGGCCCGCGGGUGGGCGGGAGGAGAGGCCUGUUCCAGGGCCGGGGGCCGGCCUGCCCGACCAGAGCCGACAGCUGAAGAGAAAAGGGCAUCUUCAGAUACAACACAGGGAAAUGCGUAGCUCGAUGUUUAUAAUGUGACUCCGGGUUCCACAGGCCUUCCUUUCCACCUGUGCGCCUCUCAGCUUUAAGCACGAGCAUCCAAGGGGCAAACCGAGACUUCGCUUCCCUCAGAGCCGGAUAGAUAAGCAGCAGCUUUUCCCAGGACACUGCGAGGACAGGGGCCCUGCUGGCUGUUGGAGAAAAGCUGCCCGACACGGCGGGGG
ensembl:lncRNA